rnacentral:tRNA from 1 species
GCCUGGGUGGCUCAGUCGGGUGAGCGUCCGACUUCGGCUCAGGUCACGAUCUCACACGGUUCGUGGGUUCGAGCCCCGCGUCGGGCU